ACUACUGCUACAGAAUUUUCUUGAUUUUUUUGCAGUGUAUUUUACAGUAAUUCAUAGGAGCUAUAAGAAAUGUGAGAAGAGUGUGUGGGAGGGAGGUUUGACACAGACAUUGCAGCACGUAAAAAAGCUGCAGCCCAUAUGAAGAGGGGAAUUAUUAGCUAAAAGAUAGCCAUCAGAUUUCAGAAGAUAAACGAAAUGUGGAUCUGAACCUUGAAAUUGUCAGCUCAGCUCAGCAGGAGGUUGCAAAGGCAGAGCGGUGAAAGGAGGGCUUCCUGGAGACCUCCCAGAAGAUUGAAAUGGAUUAUGCGAUUCUGGAAGGGGACAAGAAACAGGCAAUACAAAGACCAGUAAAAAUGGGAAGUACUGGAUUCUGGUUUCCUCCAAGAAGAGUCAGCGGAACUGGUUAAGACCAAAAUCUGAGGACUUUAGUGGGCAAACAUCAGUCCCCUUUUGCUUUCUUUUACGACCACAUGAAACUUGAGAAGCCAUCUAAAGCUAAAUCAUUUAGUGGAGUUGGGCAAUUCCCAAGUGUCCAACAAGAAGGCCUGGUUUAGGCUGCGAUGGCCACUGUCAUUCCUGGUGAUUUGUCAGAAGUAAGAGAUACCCAGAAAGUCCCUUCAGGGAAACGUAAGCGUGGUGAAACCAAACCAAGAAAAAACUUUCCUUGCCAACUGUGUGACAAGGCCUUUAACAGUGUUGAGAAAUUAAAGGUUCACUCAUACUCUCACACAGGAGAGAGGCCCUACAAGUGCACACAACAAGACUGCACCAAGGCCUUUGUUUCUAAGUACAAAUUACUAAGGCAUAUGGCUACUCAUUCUCCUGAGAAAACCCACAAGUGUAAUUAUUGUGAGAAAAUGUUUCACCGAAAAGAUCACCUAAAGAAUCACCUACAUACACACAAUCCCAACAAAGAGGCCUUUAAGUGUGAAGAAUGUGGAAAGAACUACAAUACCAAGCUUGGGUUCAAACGUCACCUGGCUUUGCACGCUGCAACAAGCGGUGACCUCACCUGUAAGGUAUGUUUGCAGACGUUUGAAAGCACAGGAGUGCUGCUGGAGCACCUCAAAACUCACGCAGGCAAGUCAUCGGGUGGAGUGAAGGAGAAAAAACACCAGUGUGAACACUGUGAUCGUCGGUUCUACACCCGAAAGGAUGUCCGUAGACACAUGGUAGUGCACACUGGAAGAAAGGACUUCCUCUGUCAGUACUGUGCACAGAGAUUUGGGCGGAAGGAUCACCUCACGCGCCACAUGAAGAAAAGUCACAACCAAGAACUUUUGAAGGUCAAAACAGAGCCAAUGGACCUUCUAGAUCCCUUUACCUGCAAUGUUUCUGUGCCUAUUAAGGAUGAGCUGCUUCCAGUGAUGUCUUUACCUUCCAGUGAACUGACAUCAAAGCCAUUUACAAACACUUUGCAAUUAAAUCUCUACAACACUCAGAUUCAGUCCAUGCAGAGUUCUGCAUCUGCACACCAAAUGGUUGCCACAUCGUUACCAUUGGGAAUGCCUUGUCCAAUAGAUAUGGAGUCUGUCCAUCCUUCUCACCAGCUAUCGUUGAAAUAUCCGCUCGGUACUACCUCAUACGCAAUUUCUAUGCCUGAAAAAGAACAGCCAUUGAAAGGGGAAAUCGAAAGUUACUUAAUGGAGUUGCAAAGUGGUAUGCCUUCUUCAUCCCAGGAUUCUCAAGCAUCUUCGUCAAAACUAGGGCUGGAUCCACAAGUAGGGCCACUAGAUGAUGGGUCUGGGGAGGUUUCCCUUUCCAAGGGCUCCGUUCCUAUUAGCGAACCUCUAAACACCCCAUCGUUGGACUUUUCUCAGCUGUUCAACUUCAUACCUGUAAACGGCCCUCCCUAUAAUCCUUCUGUUUCGGUGGGAAACCUCGGAAUGAGUUAUACGCAAGAGGAGGCACAUUCUUCUAUGACUCAACUUCCACCACAAACCCAGGAUCCACAAGAUCCUAGCAAUAGUAUAGGUCUUGGGUCUCUGCACUCGUUGUCAGCAGCUUUCACAAGCAGUCUAAGCACAACCACCACCCUACCACGAUUUCAUCAAGCUUUCCAAUAGGAUGUACAAAGCUGGCUUGUUGCUGUCUAUUUGUAGAAAUGCCUUAGGUGACCAUUUUUAACUUAGUGCCUACUAUAAGACAUUAUAAAUUCUCUGCUUUUUACAGUACCAAUCUCAUGAAGCCAGAAAGAAAAACACAGAUGAACAGAGCACAAGAUGAAUGCAACCGAAUGUAACUCUAGUUUAAAUCAGCAACCAUAACGCAUCUAGGAAGAACUCGGGGUUAUUCUCAAUCCUUCAAAUCAAUCUGAGAUGAAGAUAAACUAACUUAAUUUCUCCAGUGGGUUAUGUCCCGCGUGGAGCUGAGCAUCUACAACUCCCCCUGCAGCAGAGGCAGGUUGCGAGCGCUCGGCAUCCGGCAUCUGGCACACGAAUUUCCAGUCCCUAGCGACUGCGCAUCAGUCUCAGUUGCCAGUUACAAUUCAUUAAACAAACAAACGAAACAAAACAAAGUAACAACCAAAACCUAACAGACACUUUGCCAACACCCAUUUCUUAGCGCGUAGCCAGAAUCCUUACUACUGUGUUCGUGCCUUAGCUUCCUGAAAAGGGAUUGACAUUUCACUUUGGAGUUAGACCUACAUUUCACUUGAGAAAUAGGGACCUCAGACAAGAUAUUGAACCUCAUUCAGUCAGGGCUUCAGUGGGGGCUGCACCGAGCGUGUUUGCCGCUGAACAAGGAUGUAUGGUAACAUGGAAGCAGACUGACACUGUCAGCAAUACUGCCCGCACCACAGUGCUUUGGAAUAUCACUUAGGCAGAGUCAAUAUUGGCCACUACUAAACCGUCAAGUUUUUAAAGCCUGUUUUCUCGAUUUCAGAUGGGUUCUCAGAGGGAGGGGGGAGGGCUGGCUGAUCCUGCACCGCUCUUUGUGCAACAUCUAAACUUCUACUAAGGUUGGGGUUUGGGUUUGUUUUUUGGAUUUUUGUUUGGUUUUGUUUUGGUUUUGGUUUUUGUUUUUCUUUUUUUUUUUUUUUAAUAUAUAUAUUUUUGUGUACUUGUUGCUUGUGCUUUAUUUAGUAGUAAAUUGUGGAAUAGAGUGAUUUAUUGUUAAUUUGGCAGUAGCGGUUUUUAAAAACCAUAUACUGACUGAAACAUGAGCCAGAGCUGAUUGCUUUAUUAAGCUAAUAAUGAAUGUUAAGAGUACAUAUUUUCAGGAUCAUUUGCCUAGUGAGCUAAACUUGUAUUAUAGGCCAAUAUUUUUAAAAAUAAAGCUUGGUCAACCUCUAUGUUACACAUAUUACAAGAUAUAGCACUUUCAAAAAGAAAAACCUAAACCUUUUAAGAAAAUUUCUUACAGGUUAUGCUUUUUAUUAUAAAACCUUUUAUUAUAAUUUGUUUCAAGUGCCAUUAGAUUACAUAUAUGUAGGCCUUUGGUAUAAUGCUUUGUGUACAAAAUGGUAGACAUUGUAAUUUUAAACAGGUACAUUUUUACAGUGUUUUCUUAUCAAUUUGCUAUAUUGCACAGAACCAGUGUGUCUUUCUUAAGGGUUUUACAAUGGUUUUUACUAGGUUUACAUGUUUCAAACUACACUGUCUUCUACUGCCAUUUUGAAUACCAGUCAAAAAAAUUAGGAGUUUGUCCUCACCUAUUGCAAACUGUGUCCUCUGGAGUUCUGGAUGGUAAACUACGACAAAAUUGUUUAACGUGCAGUAUUUGAUACAGAUUUUUUUUAUCGUAUCCUAUCACCGCUAUGCUGCUGUCUGAAGUUAACUUAGGGCCUGAUCCUGCACCCGGAAAGGUGGAGGGGAGCAGGAUUGCAUCCUUCGUUAUGUCUGUCUCAUACACUGGUUUAGCAGCUCGUCCUGUAUUCUUCUCAGUCUAUAGAUAAGCCUCUGUAGUAAAUGUACUUAUCUGGUAGGUAGUAAACCGUACGGGCGUAGCUGCCCGUCCUGCAUCCUCCCAGUGUACAGUUAAAACCACAGGCUACUUAGCAUCGUGCUCAACGUACGAGUAACGCCCCAGUAGUUCAAAAUGUGUUUGGAUAGUCCCAAAGCUUUUAUGCAAUAAGGGUGUCUUACUUUUGUUGGAAGGCAGUGUCUUUUGAUAACAGUUAUCUAGCCCUGGAAGUGACACAGAACUAUUGCUAAUCAUAUGUAAACACUUUUCAGUAUAAGCUUCAGUGGUACAGUUGAACCAGAGUGAAUGUUUAUCUCCUCAGAAACACUCCUGCAAUAUUGUUAUAUUGGAUCAUGCUGCUAAUGUAACUUGGGAUACAACUCCUCUCAUGGUGCUACAAACCUCCCUGUCUCAUUCAGAUGUAUUUUUACCCAUAGAAAAAAGGACUAUACUAGACCUAUAGUUGUAUGAUAUAUUUUUAUACUGUGACUUAACUUGUCAUUAAUGAACUUUGUGCAACACCACAAUGUAUUCAUAUGCACUUGCAAAAGUAAAAUUUUGGACAUACAGAUUUAAACGCUGACAAGCCCAGCUCUUGUUCACAAAAAUAGAUGACUGCUAGUUAAAAUUUUAUGUGGGCUUUUUAUAUGGUGUGAAGGACAUACUGUGUAUUACUAAAAGCCUUUGAAUUUAAACAAAACCUGGGAAAAGUAUAUUGGGGAAUUAUGACACACCCAAACCUGACUUGGAUUGCUGAAAUUAUAUUUUUAGCUAGUGGAAAAAUUGUUUGGACUUGUAUGCUAAAAUGUUUUAAUGAUAAGAGUUUUGAGUCAAAAAUAGAGAAAAAAGAAAAAAAA